rnacentral:rRNA from 1 species
UACGGAGGGUGCAAGCGUUAUCCGGAUUUACUGGGUUUAAAGGGUGCGUAGGCGGGCUUUUAAGUCAGCGGUGAAAGCUUCGGGCUUAACCCGGAAAUUGCCGUUGAUACUAUUAGUCUUGAAUUAAGUUGAGGUGGGCGGAAUAUGUCAUGUAGCGGUGAAAUGCUUAGAUAUGACAUAGAACACCGAUUGCGAAGGCAGCUCGCUAAACUUAUAUUGACGCUGAGGCACGAAAGCGUGGUGAUCAAACAGG